rnacentral:rRNA from 1 species
GAGGAUUAUACCCUGUAGUCCACGCCGUAAACGAUGAUAACUAGCUGCUUGGGCUCAUGGAGCUUGGGUGGCGCAGCUAACGCAUUAAGUUAUCCGCCUGGGGAGUACGGUCGCAAGAUUAAAACUCAAAGGAAUUGACGGGGGCCUGCACAAGCGGUGGAGCAUGUGGUUUAAUUCGAAGCAACGCGCAGAACCUUACCAGCCUUUGACAUCCUAGGACGAUUUCUGGAGACAGAUCUCUUCCCUUCGGGGACCUAGUGACAGGUGCUGCAUGGCUGUCGUCAGCUCGUGCCG